rnacentral:rRNA from 1 species
UCCAGACUCCUACGGGAGGCAGCAGUGGGGAAUAUUGCACAAUGGGGGAAACCCUGAUGCAGCGACGCCGCGUGAGUGAAGAAGUAAUUCGUUAUGUAAAGCUCUAUCAGCAGGGAAGAGAAUGACGGUACCUGAGGAAUAAGCCACGGCUAACUACGUGCCAGCAGCCGCGGUAAUACGUAGGUGGCAAGCGUUAUCCGGAUUUACUGGGUGUAAAGGGCGUGUAGGCGGGAAAGCAAGUCAGAUGUGAAAACCAUGGGCUCAACCUGUGGCCUGCAUUUGAAACUGUUUUUUUUGAGUACUGGAGAGGCAGACGGAAUUCCUAGUGUGGCGGUGAAAUGCGUAGAUAUUAGGAGGAACACCAGUGGCGAAGGCGGCCUGCUGGACGAUGACUGACGUUGAGGCUCGAAAGCGUGGGGAGCAAACAGGAUUAGAUACCCGAGUA